rnacentral:rRNA from 1 species
GCCAGACUCCUACGGGAGGCAGCAGUGGGGGAUAUUGCACAAUGGGGGGAACCCUGAUGCAGCGACGCCGCGUGAGGGAAGACGGCCUUCGGGUUGUAAACCUCUGUCGCAGGGGACGAAGAAGAUGACGGUACCCUGUGAGGAAGCCACGGCUAACUACGUGCCAGCAGCCGCGGUAAUACGUAGGUGGCGAGCGUUGUCCGGAAUUACUGGGCGUAAAGGGCGCGUAGGUGGGCGCUUAAGUCAGGUGUGAAAACUCCGGGCUCAACCUGGAGACUGCACUUGAAACUGGGUGUCUUGAGGGCAGGAGAGGAAAGUGGAAUUCCUAGUGUAGCGGUGAAAUGCGUAGAUAUUAGGAGGAACACCAGUGGCGAAGGCGGCCUGCUGGACGACAACUGACGGUGAGGCGCGAAAGCGUGGGGAGCAAACAGGAUUAGAUACCCGCGUAU